UACGUAGGGGGCAAGCGUUGUCCGGAUUUAUGGGCGUAAAGAGCGUGUAGGCGGCUAGGUAGGUCCGUUGUGAAAACUCGAGGCUCAACCUCGAGACGCCGAUGGAAACCAUCUAGCUAGAGUCCGGAAGAGGAGAGUGGAAUUCCUGGUGUAGCGGUGAAAUGCGCAGAUAUCAGGAGGAACACCAAUUGCGAAGGCAGCUCGCUGGGACGUUACUGACGCUGAGACGCGAAAGCGUGGGGAGCAAACAGG
rnacentral:rRNA from 1 species